AGUGGACGCUGGCGGUAGGCCUAACACAUGCAAGUCGAACGGCAGCACAGAGGAGCUUGCUACUUGGGUGGCGAGUGGCGGACGGGUGAGGAAUACAUCGGAAUCUACUCUGUCGUGGGGGAUAACGUAGGGAAACUUACGCUAAUACCGCAUACGACCUACGGGUGAAAGCAGGGGAUCUUCGGACCUUGCGCGAUUGAAUGAGCCGAUGUCGGAUUAGCUAGUUGGCGGGGUAAAGGCCCACCAAGGCGACGAUCCGUAGCUGGUCUGAGAGGAUGAUCAGCCACACUGGAACUGAGACACGGUCCAGACUCCUACGGGAGGCAGCAGUGGGGAAUAUUGGACAAUGGGCGCAAGCCUGAUCCAGCCAUACCGCGUGGGUGAAGAAGGCCUUCGGGUUGUAAGCCCUUUUGUUGGGAAAGAAAUCCAUCUGGUUAAUACCCGGGUGGGAUGACGGUACCCAAAGAAUAAGCACCGGCUAACUUCGUGCCAGCCGCCGCAGUAA
rnacentral:rRNA from 1 species